AACGAACGCUGGCGGCAUGCCUAACACAUGCAAGUCGAACGAGACCUUCGGGUCUAGUGGCGCACGGGUGCGUAACGCGUGGGAAUCUGCCCUUGGGUUCGGAAUAACAGUUGGAAACGACUGCUAAUACCGGAUGAUGACGUAAGUCCAAAGAUUUAUCGCCCAGGAUGAGCCCGCGUAGGAUUAGCUAGUUGGUGGGGUAAAGGCCUACCAAGGCGACGAUCCUUAGCUGGUCUGAGAGGAUGAUCAGCCACACUGGGACUGAGACACGGCCCAGACUCCUACGGGAGGCAGCAGUGGGGAAUAUUGGACAAUGGGCGAAAGCCUGAUCCAGCAAUGCCGCGUGAGUGAUGAAGGCCUUAGGGUUGUAAAGCUCUUUUACCCGGGAUGAUAAUGACAGUACCGGGAGAAUAAGCCCCGGCUAACUCCGUG
rnacentral:rRNA from 1 species